rnacentral:rRNA from 1 species
UCUAUGGGCCAUGCCACUCUGAACGUGCUCGAUCUCGUCUGAUCUCGGAAGCUUAAGCAGGGUUGGGGCUAGUUAGCACUUGGGAUGGGAAUUCCACUUUGGGAAUACAAGUGCUUGUCACC